rnacentral:rRNA from 1 species
AACGAACGCUGGCGGCGCGCCUAACACAUGCAAGUCGAACGAGAAUCCGGGGCAACCCGGUAGUAAAGUGGCAAACGGGUGAGGAAUACAUGGGUAACCUACCCUUGAGAAGGGAAUAACCCGCCGAAAGGUGAGCUAAUACCCUAUACGCUAUCUUUUUUUCGAAAAGGAUAGGAAAGCCGGGUCGAGGACCUGGUACUCAAGGAGGGGCUCAUGUCCUAUCAGCUUGUUGGUGGGGCAACGGCCUACCAAGGCUACGACGGGUAGCUGGUCUGAGAGGAUGAUCAGCCACACUGGCACUGAGAUACGGGCCAGACUCCUACGGGGAGCA